rnacentral:miRNA from 1 species
ACGGGACAUUUGAAAGUGAAG